AGUGAACGCUGGCGGCGUGCUUGACACAUGCAAGUCGAACGAGAACGGAUUAUAGCUUGCUAUAAUUGUCAGCUAAGUGGCGCACGGGUGAGUAAUGUAUAGGUAAUAUGCCUCUUACUAAGGGAUAACAAAUGGAAACGUUUGCUAAUACCUUAUACUCCUUAUUAACAGAAGUUAAUAAGGGAAAGAUUUAUUGGUAAGAGAUUAGCCUGUAUUGUAUCAGUUAGUUGGUGGGGUAAUGGCUUACCAAGACUAUGACACAUAACUGGUUUGAAAGGAUGAUCAGUCACACUGGAACUGAGACACGGUCCAGACUCCUACGGGAGGCAGCAGUGGGGAAUAUUGCACAAUGGACGAAAGUCUGAUGCAGCAACGCCGCGUGGAGGAUGACACAUUUCGGUGCGUAAACUCCUUUUAUAUGAGAAGAUAAUGACGGUAUUAUAUGAAUAAGCACCGGCUAACUCCGUGCCAGCAGCCGCCGUAA
rnacentral:rRNA from 1 species